GACAGAGGCCUCAAGCGUUAGGCGGAAUCACUGGGCUUAAAGCGUGUGUAGGCGGAUCGUUAAGUGUCUUGUGAAAUCCCACGGCUCACCCGUGGAACUGCUGGGCAUACUGGCGAUCUUGGGCCAACUAGGGGCAGCCGGAACAAGCGGUGGAGCGGUGAAAUGCGUAGAUAUCGCUUGGAACGCCGAGGGUGAAAACAGGCUGCUGGGGUUGCGCCGACGCUGAGACACGAAAGCCAGGGGAGCAAACGGGG
rnacentral:rRNA from 1 species